GAGCUUCUGGAAUCUUCAUCGCCACGAAGCCCCAAAAGCCAAUUUCACUAUUUUGAUUUUCCACAAAAUUUUCUCCCAUUUCCAAAACUUUUUUUUUUUUUAAUAAUCGAUUGCUUCGUCGUUAGUUUUUUCCCAUCUCCUCUCCUCAUUUUCAUCUCUUUUUUAUUCCUUUCUGCUUUUAAAAAAUACAUACACAAAGAGAGAGUCUCCAUCGGAUCCGUCUUCUUCUCCUCCAAACCGAUCUAAUCAUCAUCUUCUUGUUUCUUCCAGAAAUCUCGCCGUUGAUUGUUGUUAUGGCGGAGGAACACAGACUACAAGAGCCAAAACUAUGCGCUAACAAUUGUGGUUUCUUCGGAAGCACCGCUACGCAAAACCUUUGCUCCAAAUGUUUUCGAGAUCUACAGCAUCAACAACAAAACUCCUCCACCGCUAAACACGCUCUUAAUCAAUCCCUAGCCGCCGCCGCCGCUUCCGCCGUUUCUUCUCCCGACGGUGGUGCUGCUGCGUCGUCCUCUGUAUCGCCACCGCUACCUCCAGCUGAUUCGAAAGAAGUUGUCAAAACGAAUUUGGGGAAACGAGCGGCGGCUGAGAAGGAGGAGGAGGAAGGGCCGCCGCAAGAUCCGAAGCGUUGUUUGACUUGUAGGCGGCGAGUUGGAAUAACGGGGUUUCGUUGUAGGUGUGGUUUUGUUUUCUGCGGGACGCAUAGGUACGCGGAGCAGCAUGAAUGCUCCUUUGAUUUCAAGCGGAUGGGGAAAGAUAAGAUCGCUAAGGCGAAUCCGAUUGUGAAAGCUGAUAAGCUCGAGAAGAUUUGAGAUGUUGUUGUUGUUGUUGUUGUUGUUAUUGCUUGGUUUGUGAGUUUGGAUGAAUGAAACACAUACACAUGAAUGAACCAGAGAGAGCAAGAAACAUGCUAAUAAUGUGAAACGUGUAGAAUUGGGUUUGGUUCGUCAUGGGUUUGGCUACUCUUGUCUUGUCUGCCAAGUUUAUGGUCGGCUGCAGCAAAAUAUUGGGGGUGACUUUGUGUUCUUUUUUUCCCAACCCUCACAGAGAGGUUUGGAACUAAAUCGAGAUAUGAGAUGAUGGAACUUGUGGUUCUAACUCACGUUGACGCACUAUUUUGAUAUAGCAUCUUACAAAAUAAUGAUCAGUUAAAAUAUACAGAUUGGGAUGAAAUGAUGUGGUACUGGUCUUAUGUUUCGAUUCAGUCCAACCUUGUUUGUUACUUAUAACAAUUCCUCUGUACCCUAUUCUUAAUGUAAAAUGCAUCCUGAAAAUAACUGAGGA